rnacentral:rRNA from 1 species
UACGUAGGGUCCGAGCGUUGUCCGGAUUUAUUGGGCGUAAAGAGCUCGUAGGCGGCUUGUCGCGUCGACUGUGAAAACCCGCGGCUCAACCGUGUGGUCUGCAGUCGAUACGGGCAGGCUAGAGUUCGGUAGGGGAGACUGGAAUUCCUGGUGUAGCGGUGAAAUGCGUAGAUAUCUGGAGGAACACCGGUGGCGAAGGCGGCAUUCUGGACCAAUACUGACGCUGAGGAGCGAAAGCCAGGGGAGCAAACGGG